GGGCCCGUUGCCUAGCCAGGAACAGGGCGCCGGCCUUCGGAGCCGGAGGUCCCGGGUUCAAAUCCCGGCGGGCCCG
rnacentral:tRNA from 1 species